UACGUAGGGUGCGAGCGUUGUCCGGAAUUAUUGGGCGUAAAGAGCUCGUAGGCGGUCUGUCGCGUCGAAUGUGAAAUCCCGGGGCUCAACUCCGGGCUUGCAUUCGAUACGGGCAGGCUAGAGUUCGGUAGGGGAGUCUGGAAUUCCUGGUGUAGCGGUGAAAUGCGCAGAUAUCAGGAGGAACACCGGUGGCGAAGGCGGGACUCUGGGCCGAUACUGACGCUGAGGAGCGAAAGCGUGGGGAGCAAACAGG
rnacentral:rRNA from 1 species